rnacentral:rRNA from 1 species
AUGAUGAGGCAUGCAAGUCGAACGGAAUAAUGACUUCGGUUGUUAUUUAGUNGCGGAAGGGUUAGUAAUACAUAGAUAAUCUGUCCUCAACUUGGGAAUAACGGUUGGAAACGACCGCUAAUACCGAAUGUGGUAUGUUUAGGCAUCUAAAACAUAUUAAAGAAGGGGAUCUUAGGACCUUUCGGUUAAGGAAGAGUCUAUGGGAUAUCAGCUUGUUGGUGGGGUAAUGGCCUACCAAGGCUUUGACGUCUAGGCGGAUUGAGAGAUUGACCGCCAACACUGGGACUGAGACACUGCCCAGACUUCUACGGAAGGCUGCAGUCGAGAAUCUUUCGCAAUGGACGAAAGUCUGACGAAGCGACGCCGCGUGUGUGAUGAAGGCUCUAGGGUUGUAAAGCACUUUCGCUUGGGAAUAAGAGAAAUUGGCUAAUAUCCAAUUGAUUUGAGCGUACCAGGUAAA